rnacentral:tRNA from 1 species
GAGAGUAUAGCUCAGUGAUAGAGCGCAUGCUCAGCAUACACAGGGUUCUGGGUUCAAUCCCCAGUACCUCU